rnacentral:lncRNA from 1 species
ACUAUGUUCUUCUUCGUGAUUCCAUUACAUCUUGAGCAAUCACAUCUCUUAUCGCUGCCAUUAACAUACCAUCAUCAUCCGUACGAUUUGUAGACGGAACUUCUUCAUGAAGUUCAUCACUAGUACCACGGGGAUUUUUUGCUCUUGGUUGACCGUUUGUGAGCAACAUCCUUAGAUUUCUUCCUUUUAUUCGAACUACUUUCGACGAAAGGAGGAAACAAAGGCUCAUCAUCACCUAAACUUUUUUCAUCACUAUCUCCUUUGCCCUCUAUAUUUUCAGUUUGAACAUCAUUUUGAAAUUGUAUCGGAGUCAUAGCAUUGUCUCCUACGGCAACCGAAUCC